rnacentral:rRNA from 1 species
CAGCUUUUGACAUGUCCGGUUUGAUCGACAGAGAUGUCUUUCUUCAGUUCGGCUGGCCGGAACACAGGUGCUGCAUGGCUGUCGUCAGCUCGUGUCGUGAGAUGUUGGGUUAAGUCCCGCAACGAGCGCAACCCUCGCCCCUAGUUGCCAUCAUUCAGUUGGGAACUCUAGGGGGACUGCCGGUGAUAAGCCGCGAGGAAGGUGGGGAUGACGUCAAGUCCUCAUGGCCCUUACAGGCUGGGCUACACACGUGCUACAAUGGCGGUGACAAUGGGCAGCGAAAGGGCGACCUCGAGCUAAUCCCAAAAAGCCGUCUCAGUUCAGAUUGUACUCUGCAACUCGAGUACAUGAAGGUGGAAUCGCUAGUAAUCGUGGAUCAGCAUGCCACGGUGAAUACGUUCCCGGGUCUUGUACACACCG